AGCAUGUAGGCUGGUUAUCCAGGCAAAUCCGGAUAACCAAGGCUGAGGGGUGAUGACGAGGCACUACGGUGCUGAAGUAACAAAUGCCCUGCUUCCAGGAAAAGCCUCUAAGCAUCAGGUAACAUCAAAUCGUACCCCAAACCGACACAGGUGGUCAGGUAGAGAAUACCAAGGCGCUUGAGAGAACUCGGGUGAAGGAACUAGGCAAAAUGGUGCCGUAACUUCGGGAGAAGGCACGCUGGUGUGUAGGUGAAGCCCCUGCGGGUGGAGCUGAGACCAGUCGAAGAUACCAGCUGGCUGCAACUGUUUAUUAAAAACAUAGCAC
rnacentral:rRNA from 1 species